AACUCUCAACCCCCCUAUUUUGUAAUGAGAUGGGCGUGGGCUUGGAUUAUGGUUGUCUGUUGGCGUAAUUGCCGGCUCAACUGAAAUACACGAGCAACCCUACUGAAAUAAACGGUUUGACUUGGCGUAAUAAUUAUUUCGCUAAGGACGUUUUCUUCAAUUAUAAGAGGUGCUUCUAAUUCGCUUCUAAUAGCAUUUAAGC
rnacentral:misc_RNA from 1 species